UCAGUCGUGUCUGAAAUGUGUGGAUGAGUGAGAGUGUUGUGUGAUGUUAGUGAUGCAUGCUCCCAACCAAACAAAGACAGGAUGAGGAAGGAGCAGCAGGCCCAGCUGAGCUGGCUCAAACAACAUGCCAUCUCCAGAUAACCUGCCGUGUGAGGGAAACACAAGAAGACUGAGAGACUGAAACACACAUGACAUGCAGACAGAUUCUUCAAUUUAAGAACACAGAGAAGCGAUCCUCAACCUCUCACCUUGUCUGAGAUUUUGACGAACAGGCUGAAGCCCUCCGGUGAUUUGAGCAGCAGCCUGGUCGAGAUGUUCUGGCAGAAAUCCUUUGCUUUGGUGCUGGACUCCACCUCAAAGGCCUGCAGCCUCCACCUCCACCAGAUGAGGGGGGUACUUCCUGGAUCCGUUACUGCUCAGCGUGACAACAAAGACAGAGAAGCAGGGAGAGAAAUACCAGUCCAGUUGGCUUCUACUAACAACUAAACAUAGAUUUGUGCAGCCUCUGCAUGCAGUCUCCGGACAGCGGGUGGUGUUUCUUGGACUGGAGGAAGCGCUGGAUGUGCGGCAGCAGCAUGUUGCUGGGAGGAUACAGACCGGUGCACAACCAGAGGAGCUCCCAGCCUUUCUCCUCGCUGUACCUGCAGCAGAACAACCAUCACGUUCAGCCUCUCAACUUUAACACCUGCAGGAGUUCAAUGCUGCAUAUUUAUAACAUUACUCUGAUAAGAUUGAUAUUGAUGUGUCAUGUCACACACUUGACGUGGUUGUCAGUGAGCUGUUUGAUGAUCUGACAGUAGAUCUCGUCUUUGAGAGGCUCGGCUUUCAGCGCUCCUUCAAAGAUCUGGUCGGUCAGCUCGUUGACUGAGCGCGUGCGUUUGGACGGAUAGUCGCCCAUGUACUUCAUCAUCGGUGGGACAGACGUCAAGGAAGACAACAACCUUAUAAACUUUACCAUAAAUAUAGAAUGUGUUUAAAUAUCUGGAUGUGUGACAACAUGGG